GGAGACCUUGAUUUAAUUGUUGAAGUGGAUUUCUUUAUUAAUUACACAUAUUUUUGUUUAUUUAUUUGUUUACUUGAGUACUGAUUAGUCCAGAGAAAAAAUGGCAAUUAAAAAAAAUUGGGAACUCAGUUAUUUCAGUGAUGAAGGGCAUGUUUGUGCAUGAACCUGAGUACUUAGAGGAGUUAUGAUCACUAUACGCAUCUAAUU
rnacentral:misc_RNA from 1 species